ACUCCGUCCUGAAAUGGCUGAAACAGACAAUGAACCACGCCGUUUACAACUGGCUAGACAUGCAAACAAUUCCCUUCACACGAUAUGAGGCAGUUGUGGAGGUCACAAGUGGUGAUUCAGCUUUGUGGGAAGCAACGAUGGAAAAGAAUGGCGGCAGGAAGGGGAGGAAGAAAGUGCCAUCCCACAGUUACCUUUCACUGUCUGCUAUGAAUAAUGCCUAAGAAAUUAAAUGUGUCAAGGAAAAGAUAGAUGUUUUUCACGCAUCCUCCCACUUUGUGACAUAACCAAGAUUCUAUAAGGCCAAAUAGAUGUCUUAAAUGUCUUGGUCAAUGGCACCUUGGUCUAGAGCUGGGCUGGCUAAUUAAUUUUGCAAAGAGGCCACGGGAGAGACUGUAAUGCUUGCCGAGGGCCAAGCCAACAUGCUUACCCCAACUUUCUAGUAUAUUGUCGUUUCACUGAAUUGCUACAUACGUAGAUAUGGGAUGCAUUGUUGUCGUGAGGAAAUCAAGAAAAUAAACAAAAUUA